CAGUGUUUUCACUAUAAAGUAACAAGGUCAAGGUUUGUACAACUUAUAAUGAAUAAUUGAGGAUUUCAAACUUAAAAACUUAUCAUUAACUUGAUCAAAGUUAUAGUCUUUAAAGAUCACAAAGAGGAGGGGCUCAACCAAUGGGCAUCAGGAAACACAGGCAGAGCCAUGUACAGAGAAAUGACUACGCCUAACAAACCGGACAGUAUUAACUUCCUCCCCCGCAAAGAACAAUCUACAAUCUUCCAACUAAGAACAGGACACACACCACUAUUAAAUUACCACCUGAACAAAAUAAACUCCACACAACUCCCCC